UACGAAGGGUGCAAGCGUUACUCGGAAUUACUGGGCGUAAAGCGUGCGUAGGCGGUUUGUCGCGUCUGCUGUGAAAACUCAGGGCUUAACCCUGAGCCUGCAGUGGGUACGGGCAGACUAGAGUGUGGUAGGGGAGAUCGGAAUUCCUGGUGUAGCGGUGGAAUGCGCAGAUAUCAGGAGGAACACCGGUGGCGAAGGCGGAUCUCUGGGCCAUAACUGACGCUGAGGAGCGAAAGCAUGGGGAGCGAACAGG
rnacentral:rRNA from 1 species